UGUUGUAAUUACUUUUGGAUAAAAUUACAUAGAUAUUUUCAAAUUUUUAAAAGAAAAAAUGUAUAUUAUAAAUUUUUCUUCAUAAAUAUAGAUACAUAAAACAAUUAUUGCAACAGUUUUUUCAAAACAUCACUUGCUUAUUAUCUGAUUGUAUGGAAAUCGAAAAACAGAUAUGUAAUAUUUUUCCUACAGAGAAUUGAAAGCGUAGAAGAUUACACUUUAAUAAUAGAAGUUUUAAGAUCUUCAAAAAUAAAAUAAGAUGAAUUUUAUAUUUUUUGGCAGAAGUGUGCUCCAUUACGUUUCCAACAAAUUACAAAUUCUGAGAAUACGUGUGAAAUUUUUAAAUUAUGGCCAAAAUACACAAAACCUUCUGGACACCUUCUGAUUGAUAUCGAUUUCGUACUAAAAUAUCCAGUGGCGAAGAACUUUGAGGAGCGUUGGCAUUUUGCAAACUGAACGGAUCGAUGAAGAAUCAUUUGCUGUUGUUACCAGUACAAUGGAUGAAUAGAGACAAAACUAAAAUUAUUAAAAUUACAAGGCCGAAAAAUUCAACCAAAGUUUCUUGUGAUUGGGGAUACGUUGAAAGUAAAACAAAUUUUUGUAUAUUUUGAUAAUUUAAGGUAUAAUUUUGUUUCAACCCUUAAAGUACUUGAUGUUAUAUUUAAAAUAUUUUUUGUUUUUAAUCUGGAAUAUCCCAGUUUACCACUUUAUUCAAUCCCUUUUCUAUGAUUUGCCUACAAGCAACAAAUUAGUAUUUGUAUUUAUAUACUAUUUAUAAUUAAUUUUCUUUUAAAACAUUUACUUAAUAUUAGUAAUGUAUAUAAAAAAUAUAAAAAUAUUUAAUUUCUUCUAAAAUAGA